GACGAACCGUGCGAACGUUGUUCGGAAUCACUGGGCUUAAAGGGCGCGUAGGCGGGCCGCCAAGUCAGGGGUGAAAGCCCCCAGCUCAACUGGGGAAGUGCCUUUGAUACUGGCGGUCUCGAGGGGGAUAGGGGCGUGCGGAACUUCCGGUGGAGCGGUGAAAUGCGUAGAUAUCGGAAGGAACACCGGUGGCGAAAGCGGCGCGCUGGAUCCCUUCUGACGCUGAGGCGCGAAAGCCAGGGGAGCGAACGGG
rnacentral:rRNA from 1 species